GGCAGGUGUAGCCGAGCAAACCUGACAAUGAGUUGCUGACCUGUGAUCGUCACGGCAACUGGACUGGAGAGAUACCCACCUGCCAAGCUGCCCCGUCUCAGGUUGUUACCAUUGCCUCAGGUGUGGCAGCAGGGGUCAUUCUGUUAUCCAGUCUCUCUAUUGCUACUAGGUCGAUCCUGAAACGACUGAAGCAGAAAGCAACACAGUUUGAGCUGAACAGAGGCCCCUGCAGAAGUCUACAAAAGCAGCAUUGACAGCCUCAUCUAGAAAAUUAAGGACAGUUGUAUAUAUCUAACACAGCUGUAAGAGAGUCAACAGUGAUAGUGAUAUGAACAAUUAUACACAUUGUUAAGAGGAAAACUCAUUAUGUCAGAGUUAUCAAUGGUGAGAUUUGGUCAAAUGUUUUCUUUUGACCUCCACAAUUACAGGUUGUGUCAUAUUUUGUUGACUUUAUAAAGCAAAUUCAUGACAUGCUCUGCAAUGUUUUCACAUGUGUACUUCCUCCCAAGGGUUUUUUUUUUAAUUGAACAUAUUGUUCAACGGUUUUGUAAAGGUCCAGGAAAUGUUGCUCUAUUUGUGUUAUUGUAAAUGUUACACAACAUUGUGUGUGAAUUGCCAUGUCAUUACUGAACUGUGAAUAAUUUUGCUAUAUUGAUUUGAUAUUUAUGUACUAUUUAUUUAAUGAAUGGUUAAUGCAGUUAAUGUUCAUGUAAAAGUGGUGUGUUUGUUUAAAGCAGUGUUGAUGUUUUUCAUAAUAAAACUUCAAACCAUCAUUUGGUUUUAGUCAUUUGUAAAAGUAUUGAACACAUGAAGAAAGAAGUGCAAAAAGGUAUGGAAAGCCAAGACACCCACUGAAAUCUAUCAGUAAUUAAAAAGAAAUCCUGCCCCCUGUCAGUAGAAAUCAAUAUCAGCUGGUACAGUCCAAACUGAUUGCCUGUAAAAAGGUAUCUCAUUACCAAGGUGUCACACAAGAAAACAUCCACUGAACCACUGUGGACAAUAGGACAAUCAAAAAACACAUUACAGCAAGUUCCAUCACGUUGAUAAUAAAAUACAGAUGCUAUGAAUAUGGCUACUUGAAAUCACAAUAAUACUAUAUCACAUUAUUUCAUUAAUAUGUAUUUUGCAACUUGCAGUACACC